GUUUCUGUAGUGUAGUGGUUAUCACGUUUGCCUAAUAUGCAAAUAUCCCUGGAUUGAAACCAGGCAGAAACA